rnacentral:rRNA from 1 species
AUGAAGUUCGCUUCCCCGCUCACUCACGACGAGCGGGUCGACACAUGGUAUGGAGGCGAACCGCUGCGGUACCGUACGAUGGAUAAUGUGCUCGGCGACCAGCCGGUGCCAGGACUGGUGCCACGUGACCUGGAGGCGCAGCUACAGCUCGUGUGUGAAGACGGCGAACCACGGUCCUUUGCAGAGGCCGAGAGAGACGCGGCAUGGCGCGCCGCGAUGAAGUUGGAGAUGGAUGCGGUCGAGCAAAACCGCACCUGGGAGCUUGCUGAUCUCCCUCGAGGUCACCGCGCAAUCACCCUUAAGUGGGUGUUCAAGCUGAAGAGGGAUGGAGCCGGCGCCAUCAUCAAGCACAAGGCUCGUUUGGUGGCCCGAGGCUUCUUGCAGCAGGAAGGAGUCGACUUCGACGACGCUUUCGCUCCCGUGGCACGGAUGGAGUCCGUGCGACUUCUCCUUGUGCUGGCUGCCCAGGAGGGCUGGCGUGUCCACCACAUGGACGUUAAGUCGGCAUUCCUCAAUGGCGACUUGAAGGAGGAAGUCUACGUGCAUCAGCCACCGGGGUUUACGAUUCCCGGCCAGGAGGGCAAGGUGCUCCGCCUGCGCAAGGCUCUCUAUGGCCUGCGGCAGGCACCCAGGGCGUGGAACGCCAAGCUGGACUCCACGCUGAAGAAGAUGGGUUUCGAGCAGAGCCCGCAUGAGGCUGCCGUCUACCGACGGGGGAGUGGAGGAAAUGCCCUGCUGGUGGGCGUCUACGUUGACGACCUGGUGAUCACCGGCACCAAAGAUGCAGAGGUGGCGGCGUUCAAGGAAGACAUGAAGGCCACGUUCCAGAUGAGUGACCUGGGGCUCCUCUCCUUCUAUCUAAGGAUUGAGCUCACUCCGAUGGAGGAGAGGCUGAAACUAAGUCGCGACAGCACGACGGAGGAAGUGGAUGCUACGCAGUACCGACGCCUUGUGGGGAGCCUUCGCUACCUCACUCACACACGGCCGGACUUGGCAUUCUCCGUCGGCUAUGUCAGUCGGUUCAUGGAGCGACCAACGUCGGAACACCAGCAGGCAAUGAAGAGGAUCGUCCGCUACAUAGCAGGGACCCUCGACCACGGCCUCCAUUACCCUAGGUGCCCUGGGGCGGCACACUUCGUCGGGUACAGCGACAGCGACCACGCCGGCGACAUCGACACCAGCAAGAGCACGAGCAGGAUCCUCCUCUUCCUCGGCAAGUGUCUCGUGAGCUGGCAAUCAGUCAAGCAGCAGGUGGUGGCCCUGUCCAGCUGUGAGGCUGAGUACAUAGCGGCCUCCACCGCCUGUACUCAGGCGCUCUGGCUUGCUCGACUGCUUGGUGAUCUUCUCGUUCAAGACACCAGAACGGUGCAGCUCCUGGUGGACAGCAAGUCCGCCCUGGCCCUGGCAAAGAACCCCGUGUUCCACGAACGGAGCAAGCACAUCCGACUGAGGUAUCACUUCAUCCGCAGCUGUGUGGAAGAAGGGAGCAUCGAGGCGAGCUACAUCAACACCAAGGAUCAGCUCGCAGACCUGCUCACCAAGCCCCUUGGGAGGGUCAAGUUCCUCGAACUUUGCUCCAGGAUUGGGAUGAUUCAACUCUCCCACAAGACGACGUACAAGACUUAG